AUUGAACGCUGGCGGCAGGCCUAACACAUGCAAGUCGAGCGGAUGAAGGGAGCUUGCUCCUGGAUUCAGCGGCGGACGGGUGAGUAAUGCCUGGGAAUCUGCCUGGUAGUGGGGGAUAACGUCCGGAAACGUGCGCUAAUACCGCAUACGUCCUGAGGGAGAAAGUGGGGGAUCUUCGGACCUCACGCUAUCAGAUGAGCCUAGGUCGGAUUAGCUAGUUGGUGGGGUAAAGGCCUACCAAGGCAACGAUCCGUAACUGGUCUGAGAGGAUGAUCAGUCACACUGGAACUGAGACACGGUCCAGACUCCUACGGGAGGCAGCAGUGGGGAAUAUUGGACAAUGGGCGAAAGCCUGAUCCAGCCAUGCCGCGUGUGUGAAGAAGGUCUUCGGAUUGUAAAGCACUUUAAGUUGGGAGGAAGGGCAGUAAGUUAAUACCUUGCUGUUUUGACGUUACCAACAGAAUAAGCACCGGCUAACUUCGUG
rnacentral:rRNA from 1 species